CCGGACUGGAUCCAGUUCAUCUCACCCGGACUGCAAUUAAAGCUCGUUCUAUCGUUCACACUUGCCCAUUUCAUAUCAAAUUAGGGUUUCGAUCUAAAAUAAAAUCUUCCAUUUCUUCUCAUAAAUCUCAGAAUGAGCUCAAAAUAAAAUCUUUCCAGUUCUGCGAUUUGGUUAAGACUCAAAAACCCUACCAUACGGAUUUAGGCCAGACAUGGCGGAGCAUUUGGCUUCGAUUUUCGGAACCGAGAAGGAUCGCGUGAACUGUCCCUUCUACUUCAAGAUCGGCGCCUGCCGUCACGGCGACCGGUGCUCUCGUCUCCACAACCGACCCACCAUUUCCCCAACUCUACUUCUCUCCAACAUGUACCAUCGGCCUGACAUGAUCACGCCUGGCGUUGACGCCCAGGGCCAACCUAUCGAUCCCCGUAAGAUCCAGGAGCACUUUGAGGAUUUCUACGAGGACAUCUUCGAAGAGCUGAGCAAGUUCGGUGAGAUCGAGAGCCUGAACGUUUGUGACAACCUCGCCGACCACAUGAUUGGCAACGUUUAUGUUCAGUUCAAGGAGGAAGACCAUGCCGCAGCUGCCUUGCAGGCGCUGCAGGGCCGAUUUUACUCUGGCCGUCCGAUCAUAGCUGAUUUCUCGCCAGUGACAGAUUUCCGCGAGGCGACAUGCCGCCAAUAUGAGGAGAAUAGCUGCAACCGAGGGGGAUACUGUAACUUCAUGCAUGUAAAGAUGAUCGGCAGGGAGCUGAGGAGGAAGCUCUUUGGGAGGUACCGCAGGUUUAGAAAAAGUAGGAGCCGUAGCAGGAGCGCGAGCCCGCAUAACCGGAGGGACCGUGAUAGGCGUGAAUAUCGUGAUUAUCGAGAGCGAGAGCGUGACGAUUAUCGAGCUGGGAGAAGGCAUGGGAGGCAUGAGAGUGAUAGUGGGAGGAGGAGGCACGAGAGUCCAAAGUUAAGCCGGAGUCCAAUAAGGGAAGGGAGCGAGGAACGCAGGGCUAGGAUUGAGCAAUGGAACCGAGAGAGGGAGGAGAGGCAGUCCUGAGAUAUGAGAGCAUCAAUAUUAUCAAGUCACCUGCUGGGGAAUGCAUGCUGGUGAGUAGGCCAAGUAAAUAGAUGCCAACAUAGAGGAAUCAUUUUUGCACUGCUACAUCCAACAGGAUCAGGACUUAGGAGGUUGUAAUUGGUGAUGAGUGAUAGAAGGAAGGAAGGAAGGCAGGUGUGGUAAUUCAGAGCAGAAUGAAGAUGUAGUUCUCUGCGUUGACUGAAAAUUCAAGCGGAGAAAGUGUGCAAAGAUUGUAUGUUGAUGUAAACCAAAGAUUGUAUAUUGUAAGAUUGAAAUAGCUUUUCUACUUGUGAUUGCUUCAUCUAACUACUUGUUUCAGAGGUCUUUACCAUUCCUACUACAGAUGCCAUUCCUUGAUGACUGAAGUUUCUGGUUAUUGUUCAUAUUUUACUGAUUCAGUGAUUCUAUGAGUAGGCUGGUUGAGUGGUUGCUGCUCCAACAAGGAAAGUAGUGUGUGAUUUUGUUGGUUUACAAUAUUGAACUAAUCAAGUCGAAGUGUUGAGGCUUGGUAAUAUUUCCAUAGAAACUGAGAUUGCUUUUAA